UGGUGUCUCUCUGCUCAGGAUCACCUGGCGUCUCUCUGCUCAGGAUCACCUGGCCCUCUCUGCUCUGGCUGAAAAACAUUGUCAUGUAAGGUGUUCAGGAAAUGAAGGAGAUGGGCAGUGUUGUAUGGUUCAAGGGCGGCAUGGCGGUGGAGGACCCCAUUAUGGCUCAUGGCUGGGCAUGUGGUGACAUUUCCCCUGUGCUGGCCAGGCACCUUAAUGAUGGCACGUUGACCAAUCAAUGAUUCUCUAAAAUGACAGAAAAUACUACAAUUGCUGUACAGUAAAGAUCACUGGCAACAUCAAUGAGUCCUCUAAUGUUUCUAGAGUGUAAUACCAGAACAUUACUCACUUGCACAUACUGUAUUCCUACUGUUUAUCCUUCAAUCUUUGGUGAUUCCUUUCCAAUACGACUCUGUAGAUGUGCUUCAUCUGGAGAUGGUGUUUGUUAAGGAUGGGGUCUGUGUGUGUGUGUGUGUGUUCCUUUCCAAUAUGACUCUGUAGAUGUGCUUCAUAUGGAGAUGGUGUUUGUUAAGAAUGGGGGCUGUGGUUGAUAAACUCACUCUGAUGUUAUGGAAGAUGGCAGGGUUACAGCCUCCUGUUUGUCUGUAAAUAGACGUGUUCUACCACCAUGUACGUGGUGGUCGUCUUUCGGUUCCAUAACAACUAAAUAGCACACAGUCCAGUAAACACUACAGUAAUACAGUAUACAAGAUAAACAUGUUACAAAGUAGUACAGCUCCCAAUUUCAUACAUACAGUAAUACAUAAACCAUUUACUUUGUUUCUCUUUACAGUAUGUAUUGGAAUCUACAGUCUUUACUGUGCUUUAUGUUGUACUACUGUCAAGUAGUAAAAGUAGUACAGAGGUCCAAUGUCUGCAGUACAAAGCUCUUCUCAUUUUGGAACGUCCGUAUGAUGGAUGCUACGGGGAAGUGGCUCAGAUUGGGCUGCACUCUCUGCCCAGCCUCUCUCAAGGUCAAACCAUGGUUGACCACAUGGUCUGCCCAGCCUCUCUCAAGGUCAAGCCAUGGUUGACCACAUGGUCUGCCCAGCCUCUCUCAAGGUCAAGCCAUGGUUGACCACAUGGUCUGCCCAGCCUCUCUCAAGGUCAAGCCAUGGUUGACCACAUGGUCUGCUCACCCUCUCUCAAGGUCAAGCCAUGGUUGACCACAUGGUCUGCUCAGCCUUUCUCAAGGUCAAACCAUGGUUGACCACAUGGUCUGCUCACCCUCUCUCAAGGUCAAACCAUGGUUGACCACAUGGUCCACCACAGUCGCCGAGACUCUUCUCCUUGUUCUUGGUCUUCCUUAUUCCUCACCUCUAUCUCCAACUCUCCCUGCUAAGUUUGCUUCCAUUGUUCUCCAAACACAGGAGUACUCACCUGUGGUCUUGUUGUCCAUACCAAAAGGUUUGAGUGCAAAGUUGAACAUUCAUGCAAAUAGUGUUUGAACAUGUGGAGAGUGAAAAUGAUCAAUUGGUAAUUGAGCUUAGCUUGUUGAACAGUGUUGCUUUUUAUUUGAACACAAGAGAUUUUAGUUGUGAAGGUUAUGCCAAAAUGUAGAGAAUUGUGUGUUGUGUUUUGCCAAAUGUUUGUUAUAUAAUUUCAAUCUGUGCCAGUAGUAUUGCAGAUUUGGUGUCUGGUUCUGCUAAAUGGGCUACAUAUUUGGGUCAUUGUGCCUCAUGGGCCAGUUUUAGUGUGUUAACAAUUGGGAAAAACUGUCAGUAUUAUUUUGCAGACCCUGUGACAAUGUGAAAGAAAACCUUUCAAACUCAGGCUCAAUGGUUGUGUGUUGUUUCCCAUAGUGACAAUAAAGUAAAAUUCUACACACAAACCAUAUUUUGGUAUUUAUUUAAUUAGUCCAUUGUUGAUAUAAUCCCAACAUGUUUUGCUAGUCAGCAAUCAAGUUUUAAAGAUAUAUAACUUUCCAAAUACAGAAAUACAGCCGCUAUGAUGCAAGUUGAAUUAUAUAUUGCAAAACGCUGCAUCAUGUAAUUCAAAAUGCAUCACAACGUCUGUAUUUCCAAAAAGCAUUUUGGUGUAAUUUUCCUUUAAGUGCUGAGAGGGAAUGUAUUUAAUCAUCAUUCAGCUGUACUUAUUGACAGUAGCCAGACACACAGAUGUCCUGUAUAACAAAAUAUUCAUUAGGUCAACAGUUGACCCCAAAGCAAAGGCAACAAUUUCCUAAAUGAUAGAUACUUGUGGCACUAUUGUGAGACCAGACACUGAGUUUUAAAGGUUUUCCACAGACAAAUAUACCCUUCCCCUUUAAAGACAGUAGUCAUCUACCCUUCCCCUUUAAAGACAGUAGUCAUCUACCCUUCCCCUUUAAAGACAGUAGUCAUUUACCCUUCCCCUUUACAGACAGUAUUAAUCUACCCUUCCCCUUUAUAGACAGUAUUCAUUGACCCUUCCCCUUUACAGACAGUAUUAAUCUACCCUUCCCCUUAAUAGACAGUAGUCAUCUACCCUUCCCCUUGAAAGACAGCAGUCAUUUACCCUUCCCCAUUACAGACAGUAUUAAUCUACCCUUCCCCUUAAUAGACAGUAUUCAUUGACCCUUCCCCUUUACAGACAGUAUUAAUUGACCCUUCCCCUUUACAGACAGUAGUCAUCUACCCUUCCCCUUUAAAGACAGUAUUCAUUGACCCUUCCCCUUUACAGACAGUAUUAAUUGACCCUUCCCCUUUACAGACAGUAUUAAUUGACCCUUCCCCUUUACAGACAGUAUUAAUUGACCCUUCCCCUUUACAGACAGUAUUAAUUGACCCUUCCCCUUUACAGACAGUAUUAAUUGACCCUUCUCCUUUACAGACAGUAUUCAUUGACCCUUCCCCUUUACAGACAGUAUUAAUCUACCCUUCCCCUUAAUAUAGAGUAUUCAUUGACCCUUCCCCUUUACAGACAGCAUUAAUUGACCCUUCCCCUUUACAGACAGUAGUCAUCUACCCUUCCCCUUUAAAGACAGUAUUCAUUGACCCUUCCCCUUUACAGACAGUAUUAAUUGACCCUUCCCCUUUACAGACAGUAUUAAUUGACCCUUCCCUUUUACAGACAGUAUUAAUUGACCCUUCCCCUUUACAGACAGUAUUAAUCUACCCUUCCCCUUAAUAGACUGUAUUAAUUGACCCUUCCCCUUUAUAGACCGUAUUAAUUGACCCUUCCCCUUUAUAGUCAGUAUUCAUUGACCCUUCCCCUUAAUAGACAGUAUUCAUUGACCCUUCCCCUUAAUAGACAGUAUUCAUUGACCCUUCCCCUUAAUAGACAGUAUUCAUUGACCCUUCCCCUUUAUAGACUGUAGUCAUUGACCCUUCCCCUUUACAGACAGUAUUCAUUGACCCUUCCCCUUUACAGACAGUAUUCAUUGACCCUUCCCCUUAAUAGACAGUAUUCAUUGACCCUUCCCCUUUACAGACAGUAUUCAUUGACCCUUCCCCUUUACAGACAGUAUUCAUUGACCCUUCCCCUUUAUAGACAGUAUUCAUUGACCCUUCCCCUUUACAGACAGUAUUAAUUGACCCUUCCCCUUUACAGACAGUAUUAAUUGACCCUUCCCCUUUACAGACAGUAUUAAUCUACCCUUCCCCUUUACAGACAGUAUUAAUUGACCCUUCCCCUUUACAGACAGUAUUAAUUGACCCUUCCCCUUUACAGACAGUAUUAAUCUACCCUUCCCCUUAAUAGACCGUAUUAAUUGACCCUUCCCCUUUACAGACAGUAUUCAUUGACCCUUCCCCUUUGCAGACAGUAUUAAUUGACCCUUCCCCUUUACAGACAGUAUUAAUCUACAUUUCCCCUUAAUAGACAGUAUUCUUUGAUCCUUCCCCUUUAUAGACUGUAGUCAUCUACCCUUCCCCUUUAAAGACAGUAUUCACUGACCCUUCCCCUUUAAAGACAGUAUUCAUUGACCCUUCCCCUUUAAAGACAGUAUUCAUUGACCCUUCCCCUUUAUAGACAGUAUUCAUUGACCCUUCCCCAUUGCACCCAUGCUGUUAACCCUCUAGUUUACCAAAACCGCUGAAUGAUGUGUCUACUGUGUGAUUGAUACCUAAGAAUCCUUCAGCAUCAAUAUACCAUUUAACAAAACAACAGCCGUAUAUGAAG